UCCUUCUGUCUCCAGCAGCUUCUGAUGUGGUACGAGUGAAACCUGGAGAUGAUGUCAUUCUGCCAUGUCAGGCUGGUAACGUCUCCAUCAGAGGCGUAGAGUGGACCAGAACUGACCUGGAGCCAGAGUACGUCCUCCUUUACAGAGAUGGACGCUCAGAUGAAACCCUCCAGCAUCCAUCCUUUAAGGACCAGGUGCAGCUGCUGGACAGAGAGCUGAAGGACGGAAACGUGUCUUUACUUCUGAAGAACGUGAGCAGGAACAACGCUGGAACAUACGAGUGCCGAGUUGCAACAGAAGGAUCAAGACGUAAGAGAGCCAUCAUCAAGACUAAGCCAAUCAGAAUCAUCCAGCUGGAGGUUUCAGGGUCCAACAGCGGAGACGUCGAGGAGGGAAACUACUGUCUUACUGCAGACUGGGCAGCUUUUGUUCUGGUUUGUUUAGCUGCUGCUGUUGGAUUGGCUGUUGGUUGGAAAUAUAAAAGAAAUGCAGACAAGAAACCAGAACAGCGCUGCUGAUGAAGCAGUGAACGACCAGUUACUCUGACUUGUCACAGACUCUUUCCACUUGUCAAUAUGUGUUUCAUACAUUCAACA